UACAGAGGGUGCAAGCGUUAAUCGGAAUUACUGGGCGUAAAGCGCACGUAGGCGGUUUUUUAAGUCAGAUGUGAAAGCCCCGGGCUCAACCUGGGAAUUGCAUUUGAAACUGGGGAACUAGAGUGUGUGAGAGGGGGGUAGAAUUCCAAGUGUAGCGGUGAAAUGCGUAGAGAUUUGGAGGAAUACCAGUGGCGAAGGCGGCCCCAUGGCAAAACACUGACGCUCAGGUGCGAAAGCGUGGGGAGCAACCAGG
rnacentral:rRNA from 1 species